rnacentral:rRNA from 1 species
CGUAGGUGGCAAGCGUUGUCCGGAAUUACUGGGUGUAAAGGGCGUGUAGGCGGGAAUGUAAGUCAGAUGUGAAAUUUCAGGGCUCAACCCUGGCGCUGCAUCUGAAACUAUGUUUCUUGAGUGCUGGAGAGGAAAGCGGAAUUCCUAGUGUAGCGGUGAAAUGCGUAGAUAUUAGGAGGAACACCAGUGGCGAAGGCGGCUUUCUGGACAGUAACUGACGCUGAGGCGCGAAAGCGUGGGGAGCAAACAGGAUUAGAUACCCUGGUAGUCCACGCUGUAAACGAUGGAUACUAGGUGUAGGAGGUAUCGACCCCUUCUGUGCCGGAGUUAACACAAUAAGUAUCCCACCUGGGGAGUACGGCCGCAAGGUUG